rnacentral:rRNA from 1 species
AUUGAACGCUGGCGGCAGGCCUAACACAUGCAAGUCGAGCGGAUGAAGGGAGCUUGCUCCUGGAUUCAGCGGCGGACGGGUGAGUAAUGCCUAGGAAUCUGCCUGGUAGUGGGGGAUAACGUCCGGAAACGGGCGCUAAUACCGCAUACGUCCUGAGGGAGAAAGUGGGGGAUCUUCGGACCUCACGCUAUCAGAUGAGCCUAGGUCGGAUUAGCUAGUUGGUGGGGUAAAGGCCUACCAAGGCGACGAUCCGUAACUGGUCUGAGAGGAUGAUCAGUCACACUGGAACUGAGACACGGUCCAGACUCCUACGGGAGGCAGCAGUGGGGAAUAUUGGACAAUGGGCAAAAGCCUGAUCCAGCCAUGCCGCGUGUGUGAAGAAGGUCUUCGGAUUGUAAAGCACUUUAAGUUGGGAGGAAGGGCAGUAAGUUAAUACCUUGCUGUUUUGACGUUACCAACAGAAUAAGCACCGGCUAACUUCGAG